rnacentral:misc_RNA from 1 species
GAUGAAGAACGUAGCGAAAUGCGAUACUUGGUGUGAAUUGCAGAAUCCCGUGAACCAUCGAGUCUUUGAACGCAAGUUGCGCCCGAAGCCAUCAGGUUGAGGGCACGUCUGCCUGGGCGUCACAUAUCGUUGCCCAAUGCCUAUUGCAGUGCAAUAGGAAUUUCUAGGGCGAAUGAUGGCUUCCCGUGAGCGUUGUUGCCUCGCGGUUGGUUGAAAAUCGAGUCCUUGGUAGGGUGUGCCAUGGUAGAUGGUGGUCGAGUAAGAACGAUACCGAUCAUGUGCAUGCUCCCCAAAAUAUGGCCUCUAUGACCCACACGCGUCUUUUGACGCUCAUGACGAGACCUCAGGUCAGGCGGGGCUACCCGCUGAAUUUAAGCAUAUCAAUAGCGGAGGA